rnacentral:rRNA from 1 species
UACGUAGGGUGCGAGCGUUUGUCCGGAAUUAUUGGGCGUAAAGAGCUCGUAGGCGGUUUGUCGCGUCUGCUGUGAAAACGCGAGGCUCAACCUCGCGCCUGCAGUGGGUACGGGCAGACUAGAGUGCGGUAGGGGAGAUUGGAAUUCCUGGUGUAGCGGUGGAAUGCGCAGAUAUCAGGAGGAACACCGAUGGCGAAGGCAGAUCUCUGGGCCGUAACUGACGCUGAGGAGCGAAAGCGUGGGGAGCGAACAGG